ACACGUCCUAGGCUGGCGAAGCGGGUCAAGGACCAUGGGCCCCGAACGGGAGGCUGCUGACACUUGUCAGGGAGGAAGAGGGUAACUGGUGACUGUCAGAGGCAGAGCGGAGGUUUAUUCUUGGAAGCAGCCCCCCGCUGCUGACUUUACUUCUCUUCUUGGCUGUGCCUAAGAGGAUUGCUGGGCCAGAGUUCCCUGUUAUCUGUUUUAUGGUGAGGAAGGACACACAGUUCUGCUUUGCAAAAGAACAUUGAACUUGUCUGAAAUGCCCUUGUUUCAACUCUUAGUCGUUACAGCAGGAAAUGUGAUCACAGAUCUUCACCCUGGAAACAAAGAGGGAUGAAUCUUUGGUUCUUAAAUA
rnacentral:lncRNA from 1 species